rnacentral:rRNA from 1 species
UACGUAGGGGGCGAGCGUUGUCCGGAAUUAUUGGGCGUAAAGAGCUCGUAGGCGGCUUAGCAAGUCAGGUGUGAAAACUCCAGGCUCAACCUGGAGAUGCCACUUGAGACUGCUAUAGCUAGAGUCCGGUAGGGGACCACGGAAUUCCUGGUGUAGCGGUGAAAUGCGCAGAUAUCAGGAGGAACACCGGUGGCGAAGGCGGUGGUCUGGGCCGGCACUGACGCUGAGGAGCGAAAGCGUGGGUAGCAAACAGG